rnacentral:tRNA from 1 species
GAUUAGGUGGUCGACGGUUUAAGGCGAUGGACUGCUAAUCCAUUGGGAAUCUCAUCCUGAUCG